rnacentral:rRNA from 1 species
CAUGCAAGUCGAGGGGCAGCGGAGAGGUAGCAAUACCUUUGCCGGCGACCGGCGCACGGGUGAGUAACACGUAUGCAAUCCACCUGUAACAGGGGGAUAACCCAGAGAAAUCCGGACUAAUACCCCAUAAUAUGGGCGCUCCGCAUGGAGAACCCAUUAAAGAGAGCAAUUUUGGUUACAGACGAGCAUGCGCUCCAUUAGCCAGUUGGCGGGGUAACGGCCCACCAAAGCGACGAUGGAUAGGGGUUCUGAGAGGAAGGUCCCCCACAUUGGAACUGAGACACGGUCCAAACUCCUACGGGAGGCAGCAGUGAGGAAUAUUGGUCAAUGGUCGGCAGACUGAACCAGCCAAGUCGCGUGAGGGAAGACGGCCCUACGGGUUGUAAACCUCUUUUGUCGGAGAGUAAAGUACGCUACGUGUAGCGUAUUGCAAGUAUCCGAAGAAAAAGCAUCGGCUAACUCCGUGCCAGCAGCCGCGGUAAUACGGAGGAUGCGAGCGUUAUCCGGAUUUAUUGGGUUUAAAGGGUGCGUAGGCGGCAUGCCAAGUCAGCGGUGAAAUUUCCGGGCUCAACCCGGAGUGUGCCGUUGAAACUGGCGAGCUAGAGUGCACAAGAGGCAGGCGGAAUGCGUGGUGUAGCGGUGAAAUGCAUAGAUAUCACGCAGAACCCCGAUUGCGAAGGCAGCCUGCUAGGGUGAAACAGACGCUGAGGCACGAAAGCGUGGGUAUCGAACAGGAUUAGAUACCCUGG